rnacentral:rRNA from 1 species
GACGAACGCUGGCGGCGUGCUUAACACAUGCAAGUCGAGCGGAGCGGCGAACGGGUGAGUAACGCGUGAGUAACUGCCCCCCUCCCUGGGAUAACAGUUGGAAACGGCUGCUCAUACCGGAUAGUGGGGGAUGACUCGCGUCCUAUCAGCUUGUUGGUGGGGUAGUGGCCUACCAAGGCGACGGCGGGUAGCCGGCCUGAGAGGGGUACCGGCCACAGUGGGCUAAGAUACGGCCCAAACGCCUACGGGAGGCAGCGGGGGGGAAGAUUGCACAAUGGGGGAACCCCUGUUGCAGCAACGCGCGUGCGGGAUGACGGCCUUCGGGUUGUAAACCGCUUUCAGCCAUGACGCGGUAGUGGCAGAAGAAGCACCGGCUAACUACGUGCCAGCAGCCGCGGUAAUUC